rnacentral:lncRNA from 1 species
AAUAAUUACUUCACUAGAGUAUUGGGAAAUGAUGUUUGACUACCAAAAAAAUAACGUAUGUGUGCUUGUCGGUAGAGAAGACGUAGAACCAACACCGGUGUCCUGGAGCAGGAGAGCAACCUGUCUGAGCAGGACUAUGGAGGCGCCUGCUCAGCUCAGAGAUCACAAGGGAAGAAAUGCUGAGCUGGAACUGAGAAUAAAGGAGAAGGCUGCAUUUGGAGAGAUAGGGAGGAAAUGCCAGGGUCUUGGGAUCCACUCUGUACUUUUAGGGUCCCUAGGUUCUCCAUGGUACAGAUGGUUUGUAAAAUCCUUAGAACGAGGCGUGCAUUUGUGAGGCUUACAUGUCUCCGAG